rnacentral:rRNA from 1 species
ACGCUCGACACCUACGGGAGGCAGCAGUGAGGAAUAUUGGUCAAUGGGCGCAGGCCUGAACCAGCCAAGUAGCGUGAAGGAUGACUGCCCUAUGGGUUGUAAACUUCUUUUAUAUGGGAAUAAAGUUUUCCACGUGUGGAAUUUUGUAUGUACCAUAUGAAUAAGGAUCGGCUAACUCCGUGUCAGCAGCCGCGGUAAUCUGAGGCGGGCUGGCAAGGC